UACGUAGGUGACCAGCGUUGUCCGGAUUUACUGGGCGUAAAGAGCGCGCAGGCGGUCGUUCAAGUCGAGUGUGAAAGCCCCCGGCUCAACUGGGGAGGGUCACUCGAUACUGAUCGACUGGAAGGCAGGAGAGGGAAGCGGAAUUCCCGGUGUAGUGGUGAAAUGCGUAGAUAUCGGGAGGAACACCAAUGGCGAAGGCAGCACUCUGGGACGUGACUGACGCUGAGACGCGAAAGCGUGGGGAGCAAACAGG
rnacentral:rRNA from 1 species